CCGCGAGGUAGAGCAAAUCUCAAAAAAACAAUCUCAGUUCAGACUGCAGGCUGCAACUCGCCUGCACGAAGUCGGAAUUGCUAGUAAUCGUAGGUCAGCAUACUACGGUGAAUACGUUCCCGGGCCUUGUACACACCGCCCGUCAAACCAUGAGAGUUGGCAACACCCGAAGUCGGUAGUCUAACCGCAAGGAGGACGCCGCCGAAGGUGGGGUUGAUGAUUAGGGUUAAGUCGUAACAAGGUAAC
rnacentral:rRNA from 1 species